UACAGAGGGUGCAAGCGUUAAUCGGAUUUACUGGGCGUAAAGCGUGCGUAGGCGGUUCGCUAAGUCGGUUGUGAAAUCCCUGGGCUUAACCUGGGAACUGCAGUCGAUACUGGUGGACUAGAGUACGGUAGAGGGUGGCGGAACUCCGGGUGUAGCGGUGAAAUGCGUAGAUAUCUGGAGGAACACCGGUGGCGAAGGCGGCGUCCUGGACCAACACUGACACUGAGGAGCGAAAGCCAGGGGAGCAAACGGG
rnacentral:rRNA from 1 species